UACUCGGAGCGGGUCGGUCGCGCACUGAACAGAACCGCUUUCGUCCUCUCAAUGACAAAUAUCUCGCUCUAUUUCUCUGUCCAACUGGUUUCCCUGGCAUGGGCCAGGGAUCUGUCCUCACGCUGAACCUCCCAGGAACACGCUUGCCAAACUGGGCUCACAGCAACUAAGCAGAAAAAAAUUAAGAUGGUGGGGAGAUUAUCGCCAAUCUCGGGAUUAAAACUCGUCACACCUUCCAUGACUGAGAGAUGAUGACCGACUGCUAAGUGGCAGCCAUAAACAGGAACGAUAGCCCAGCUUGAAACGAAAAAUCCUGAAGGAGAAUGUGCGGCCAUCUGUUCAUAACCAGAAGCUUUAGUGAACAGCAGGACAGUGAUCUGAAACACACCAGCAAGUCCACCUCGGAAAUAUAACAAAUAGCAAAAACAUCCUUUCCUUGUGCCUGUCCAUCCGCCCGGCUGGCUGGACCGCUCUCCACCUGUGAGGUUUUUAUUCAACCACCAAACUGAAUUGGUGAACUGGGCUUGAUUGGCUUCUCCAGGCAUUCUUUGUUGCUCUCCAAGACCACUGGGAAAACAGCCAGCAGGAAACCAGAUGACAGCAGUGGAAAGUGUGAACAACAAUGAAGAGGAAGAGAGAGGGAACCUUGCAUAACCAACAGCACAGGAUAUUAUGUGGUGACAAAUUACAUGGCAACAAAUGAGGGAGGAGAGACAAUGAAAAUGCAUACAAUUAAUUUGAAUGAUCUGCCAAAGUUUGGGUUUUAAAUAAGUGUGGUUAAGCUGAAAAGGUGUACAUUGUUUUCUCGGCAUUGUCACUGUUAAAUAUAACAAUCCAUAUUAAAA